CCUACGGGGGGCUGCAGUGGGGAAUAUUGGACAAUGGGGGGAACCCUGAUCCAGCCAUGCCGCGUGUGUGAAGAAGGCCCUCGGGUUGUAAAGCACUUUCAGUGAGGAAGAACGCCUGGUGGUUAAUACCCAUCAGGAAAGACAUCACUCACAGAAGAAGCACCGGCUAACUCCGUGCCAGCAGCCGCAGUAAUACGGAGGGUGCGAGCGUUAAUCGGAAUUACUGGGCGUAAAGCGCGCGUAGGUGGCUUGAUAAGCCGGUUGUGAAAGCCCCGGGCUCAACCUGGGAACGGCAUCCGGAACUGUCAAGCUAGAGUGCAGGAGAGGAAGGUAGAAUUCCCGGUGUAGCGGUGAAAUGCGUAGAGAUCGGGAGGAAUACCAGUGGCGAAGGCGGCCUUCUGGACUGACACUGACACUGAGGUGCGAAAGCGUGGGUAGCAAACAGGAUUAGAUACCCCUGUAGUC
rnacentral:rRNA from 1 species